rnacentral:SRP_RNA from 1 species
GCCGGGCGCAGUGGCUCACACCUGUCAUCCCAGCACUUUGGGAGGCUGAGGUGAGUGGAUCACGAGGUCAGGGACUCGAGACCAGCCUGACCAGUGAAACGCCCUCUCUACUUAAAAAAAAAAAAAAAAAAAANNNNNNNNNNUUUUUUUUUUUUUUUUUUUUAAGUAGAGAGGGCGUUUCACUGGUCAGGCUGGUCUCGAACUCCUGACCUCAGGUGAUCACCCGCCUCGG